GUUGCCCAGCUCAUUCGCAGAAGAAGUUGCAGUACAUUGAAAUGGAUCGUGUGUGAGAACUGUUCGCAGAUGCUAUUAAUGUGCUAUGAGUUGAACGUGUAUUCUGUGCUGUUUACAGUGCAGCUCAUUCACCUUUUUGACACUUGGAAGUAUUCUGGUGCUUUAUGUUUACACACAUUCUGAAAUGGCCAGCGCAAUCCUUGAUGCCCACUCAGCAUCCAGCCCACAGUGGACAGGCCAUGGUGGAACAGAAGGAAGCAAGAGAGAGGCAAGCGUGGAUAGCAGACAUUUGACCCUGAUGCCUUCCUCAUCCUGGCUGAGGAUAUAGCCAUGCCAACCCCAAAACUGUGUUUCCACAACUUCAUAGACAUGUUACCGUAAUUUCUUGAGUAUAAUAUGUCCUGAAGUAUAAUGUGCACCCCCAAUGUUGACAUGAAAAAAAUCAGGAAAAGCCUUCUAAAAUGUACAAUGCAGACCCCAAAGUUGCUGCUACCCAUAUGCUAAAAAUAUUGGGAAUUAUUUGUAUUCAUAUUUUGUUAGAUUUGUAUUUGUUUUUAAAAAAACUGUCUGUACAACAAUCAUUAAUCAUCAUCAUUGUGCAUGUGCUGAUGUAGCCAUAAUAUAAUCUCGGGACAGGCCCAAGGACACGCUUGUCCUGGUCCCUGUAAUUGUCAGAACAGAAUCCCUCAACCAACUAAAAUAAAUGCUCAAUGAUGGCACAACAUUUUAUUAAUACUGUUGAUAACACAUAUUACAGUCUUAAAUAAAUAUUUAACAGUUCUUCUUUUCCUGUCGGCUUUUCCCGUAAGGGGUUGCCACUGUGUGUCAUCUUUUUCCAUCUUUUUCUCCUAUAUCUUCUUCUCUAACACUAAGAGCCCUCACGUCUUCCCUCACAACAUCCAUCAACCUUCUCUUUGGUCUUCCUCUCGCUCUUUUGCCUGGAAGCUCCAUCCUCAGCACCCUUCUUUCAUUAUAUUCAUGCUCUCGCCUCUGGACAUGU